GACGUUGGUAGCUCAAUGGUGGAUUACAUGCUUUGUAUGUAUGAUGUCCUGGGUUCAAUCCCCAGCGUCU
rnacentral:tRNA from 1 species